GUGGGUAUGGCCUAGUUGGUUAUGGCGCAAGAUUGUGGCUCUUGAGGUCGUGGGUUCGAAUCCCACUAUCCACCCCA
rnacentral:tRNA from 1 species